GGGCCUGCAUUAAAGUGUUAUCAUUGGCAUUUCACAACCAUCAACCUUGUUUCUGCAACAACUCGGGCGCAUCAAAACUGCACAUAUCCUGUAUACACACAAUAAGGCGCCUACAGCUCCAGAAAGAGAAGCACCCAAUAGGUCAUGCUGGGCGACCGUCGGAUAUGCGACACUGCUUACUGCAAGAAAUGGGGUAGAUGAUGGGCCACCUGCAGUGAGGUUGUUCUUGACAGAAAGACUAAUCAUGCAACAAUUAACUGCAUGCAAACUCAAAGAACAUAGGGAACAAUAAUAAUUCCAUUACAAGCACGCUGUAAUGUUAUGUCCAGUCUAAAUGAACAGCUUACACAGGGCACUGACCUGAAUCAUUUAUUGUGCAAUGAGACAUAUGUGACUCAUUGCCUUGGUCAUUUUGUACUGCAAUGGGACUUGCAAGUGGUGUGCCUGCAUAAAAACAAAGAUGUUAAGACGCUGAAUGUCAUUAAAGGAAAUAUUCCCCUUGUAUGAAUCAGCCAUUUUACUUGUGACAGUACUGUUCACAGCACUCUGCUGUGCAUUCAACAUUGUAGUCAAGGGUCGCAGCACUCUGCUAUCGGCCUUUUGGACCACCUUUGGAGUCGCAGCCCUCUUGCAACGUCGCUGGUGCCUGAAAUAAAAUGUACCUCUCUGUAAAAA